AACGAACGCUGGCGGCGUGCUUAACACAUGCAAGUCGAGCGGUAAGGCCCUUUCGGGGGUACACGAGCGGCGAACGGGUGAGUAACACGUGGGUGACCUGCCCUCAGCUCUGGGAUAAGCCUGGGAAACCGGGUCUAAUACCGGAUAUGACUCCAUGACGCAUGUUGUGGGGUGGAAAGCCUUGUGCGGCUGAGGAUGGGCCCGCGGCCUAUCAGCUUGUUGGUGGGGNGAUGGCCUACCAAGGCGACGACGGGUAGCCGGCCUGAGAGGGCGACCGGCCACACUGGGACUGAGACACGGCCCAGACUCCUACGGGAGGCAGCAGUGGGGAAUCUUGCGCAAUGGGCGAAAGCCUGACGCAGCGACGCCGCGUGAGGGAUGACGGCCUGG
rnacentral:rRNA from 1 species